rnacentral:rRNA from 1 species
CUUGGUCAUUUAGAGGAAGUAAAAGUCGUAACAAGGUUUCCGUAGGUGAACCUGCGGAAGGAUCAUUAUUGAAUUUGAAAGAGGUUGUAGCUGAUCUUUUCCAAAGAUAUGUGCACACCUUUUUAUCUAUACAUACACCCAUGUGCACCUUUUUGUAGGUAAAUGAGACAUCAUUUGCCUAUGUUUUUUAAUACACACAAUAUGUUGUAAUAGAACAAUAAUAAUAUUAAUACAACUUUCAACAACGGAUCUCUUGGCUCUCGCAUCGAUGAAGAACGCAGCGAAAUGCGAUAAGUAAUGUGAAUUGCAGAAUUCAGUGAAUCAUCGAAUCUUUGAACGCAUCUUGCACUUCUUGGUAUUCCGAGGAGUAUGCCUGUUUGAGUGUCAUUAAAUUAUCAACCUUUUUUAAAGAGGCUUGGAAUUGGAAUGUUGCUAGAUUUUAAUGCUAGCUUCUCUUAAAUGUAUUAGCUUUUGUGUAGGCUUUGGUUUGAUAAUAUCUAUGCCAUUGCUUUCACCACUUGACAUUUGACCUCAAAUCAGGUAGGACUACCCGCUGAACUUAAGCAUAUCAU